UGGCUCAGAUUGAACGCUGGCGGCAGGCCUAACACAUGCAAGUCGAGCGGUAGAGAGAAGCUUGCUUCUCUUGAGAGCGGCGGACGGGUGAGUAAUGCCUAGGAAUCUGCCUGGUAGUGGGGGAUAACGUUCGGAAACGAACGCUAAUACCGCAUACGUCCUACGGGAGAAAGCAGGGGACCUUCGGGCCUUGCGCUAUCAGAUGAGCCUAGGUCGGAUUAGCUAGUUGGUGAGGUAAUGGCUCACCAAGGCGACGAUCCGUAACUGGUCUGAGAGGAUGAUCAGUCACACUGGAACUGAGACACGGUCCAGACUCCUACGGGAGGCAGCAGUGGGGAAUAUUGGACAAUGGGCGAAAGCCUGAUCCAGCCAUGCCGCGUGUGUGAAGAAGGUCUUCGGAUUGUAAAGCACUUUAAGUUGGGAGGAAGGGCAGUUACCUAAUACGUGAUUGUUUUGACGUUACCGACAGAAUAAGCACCGGCUAACUCUGUGCCAGCAGCCGCGGUAAUACAGAGGGUGCAAGCGUUAAUCGGAAUUACUGGGCGUAAAGCGCGCGUAGGUGGUUUGUUAAGUUGGAUGUGAAAUCCCCGGGCUCAACCUGGGAACUGCAUUCAAAACUGACUGACUAGAGUAUGGUAGAGGGUGGUGGAAUUUCCUGUGUAGCGGUGAAAUGCGUAGAUAUAGGAAGGAACACCAGUGGCGAAGGCGACCACCUGGACUAAUACUGACACUGA
rnacentral:rRNA from 1 species